rnacentral:rRNA from 1 species
UACGUAGGGGGCGAGCGUUGUCCGGAGUUACUGGGCGUAAAGGGCGCGCAGGCGGUCUGGUAAGUUUGGAGUGACAGUGUUCGGCUUAACUGAGCAAGGCCUUCGAAAACUAUCAGACUUGAGCACUCAAGAGGGACAUAGAAUUCCGGGUGGAGUGGUGAAAUGCGUAGAUAUCCGGAGGAAUACCAAAGGCGAAGGCAGUGUCCUGGGGAGUGUCUGACGCUCAGGCGCGAAAGUGUGGGGAGCGAACAGG